GACGAACGCUGGCGGCGUGGAUUAGGCAUGCAAGUCGAACGGUAUCAUCCUUUCGGGGGUGAGAGAGUGGCGAACUGGUGAGUAACACGUAGGUUAUCUACCCUCAAGACGGGGACAACCCAGGGAAACUUGGGCUAAUACCGGAUGUGAGCAACUUUUAGUUGUUUGAAAGGUGGCGUAAGCUGUCGCUUGGGGAUGAGCCUGCGUCCUAUUAGUUAGUUGGUGAGGUAACGGCUCACCUAGGCAAUGAUAGGUAGGCGGCCUUAACGGGUGGUCGCCCACACUGGGAUUGAGAUACGGCCCAGACUCCUACGGGAGGCAGCAGUCGAGAAUAGUCUACAAUGGUCGGAAGACUGAUAGUGCGACGCCGCGUGAACGAUGAAUCCCUUCGGGGUGUAAAGUUCUUUUAUAUGUGAGCAGUGCUUCUUAUAUUAACAGUAUGGGGAAGAGAUAUUAGCAUAUGAAUAAGCAACGGCUAACUCGUGCCAGCAGCCGAGU
rnacentral:rRNA from 1 species